GACGAACGCUGGCGGCGCGCCUAACACAUGCAAGUCGAGCGAUGAAAUUUUAUCCGAUCUCUUCGGAGAGAAGAUAAAAUGGAUUAGCGGCGGACGGGUGAGUAACACGUGAGAAACCUGCCUUCCACAAGGGGAUAGCCUCGGCAAACCGGGUUUAAUACCCUAUGACACAUUUCCUUCGCAUGGAAUAAAUGUUAAAACUCCGGUGGUGAAAGAGGUUGUCGCGCGUGAUUAAUUAGUUGGCGGGGUAACGGCCCACCAAUGCAAGGAUCACUAACCGGGCAGAGAGGGUGGACGGUGACACUGGAGGGGGGAAACGGUCGAAAAUCUUAGGGGAGGGGGCAGUGGGGAAUAUUGCAAAGUGGAGGAAACGAUGAUGGAGCGAGGGCGGGUGAGCAAUGAAGGCGGUCGAGUAGUAAAGCGCUGUCAUAUGGGAAGAUAAUGACGGUACCAGAGGAGGAAGCCCCGGCUAACUACGUG
rnacentral:rRNA from 1 species